UGGGGAAUAUUGCACAAUGGGGGAAAGCCCUGAUGCAGCGACGCCGCGUGAGCGAAGAAGUAUUUCGGUAUGUAAAGCUCUAUCAGCAGGGAAGAAAAUGACGGUACCUGACUAAGAAGCCCCGGCUAACUACGUGCCAGCAGCCGCGGUAAUACGUAGGGGGCAAGCGUUAUCCGGAUUUACUGGGUGUAAAGGGAGCGUAGACGGAUGUGCAAGUCUGAAGUGAAAGCCCGGGGCUCAACCCCGGGACUGCUUUGGAAACUGUGUAUCUAGAGUGCCGGAGAGGUAAGCGGAAUUCCCAGUGUAGCGGUGAAAUGCGUAGAUAUUGCGCAGAACUCCGAUUGCGAAGGCAGCAUACCGGUGCCGGACUGACGCUGAGGCACGAAAGCGUGGGGAUCAAACAGGAUUAGAUACCC
rnacentral:rRNA from 1 species